UGCACAUCUGUCCUACCUUGAGAAGCC
rnacentral:piRNA from 1 species